CCUCCAGUCACGUGGCUGACAUUGGCCUCGGGGAGACCGCGCGGUGAGGACCGGGACUCCUGUCAGUGGCUCUCAGUCAGCGAUCCAGAUUGAUAACUAUGGCUGUGGCUACAGAAGUUAUGUAUGAACCUACAAUUGAAUUUAAAGAGAGCAAGGAGGACAAAUCUUUGAUAAGUGAUUUCAUAAAACUGCAACCAGGGAGACAAUAUCUGCAGCAUAUAGUUACCAAUGUGGUAAAACACAGAGGAAAAGUGAUACGUAAUAAUAAAUCAUCAAUCCAAUUGGAACUUACAAUUGGACAGCUGGAAGACACUGUUUAUUUUGGAAGAGAUGACAUGCUGGAAAGUUGGCAAGAGUUCUAUCUGCCGGAGAGAAUGGAUAUGAUUGUAUUGGGCACUAUUGAUAAUUUGCCUUGUUUAGCACAAGCCCUUCAGCUUGUUGUUCUUGUUGGCCAGGAUGGUUCAGUGUUUGCUUAUGAAGAGGAAGUGCUGCACAAAAUUGCCAAAAACGUGCAGGAGCUUUUUGAGAAAGGACCAACAUUUCCAGGAAUUGAAGUCUACGAAUAUGGCAGUGGAUACAGACCAAAGACUAAUGAAGAAUACAUGGCAGCACUGAAAAAAGCAGGCUUGGAUGUCAUUUCAGAAGAAACAAAGGCCUUUGUUAAAGGCAAUGCAAAUGAGAUUAUGAAACUGUUUACUUAGCUGGAUUUUUUGUAAUGUGGCAUUUUAAAUGCUUGUCUUUCUGCUUAGUAGUUUGCAUGAUUGUGAGAAAUGAGAAUAUUUAUUCUUAUCAUUGAUUUUAAAUUUAGAUUCAGCACAUUGUAUUUAAUACUGCGGUGUAAACUAUCAUUGUGUAUAAUAUACAUUUUUGGGAACAAGAGAUUAGCUACAAACCUUGGAAAGAAUUGCAUUAUCUUUGCAGAAGAAGCUUGCUCCUAAAAAAUGAGUUUGGAUAUAAAAAAGAAUGGAUCAGGUUUAUAUUUUUGACACUGUGCUUGUAAUCGGACUCAUUCAUGAAAAGAUCAGAGUGUCAAAGGAAUUGUCAGGCUUGACAUGUGCCUUAUAAACAUCCUUGUAUCCCUUGCUGUCAUGUUUUACUGCAACUUGCAUUUACAUCGUGCCCUUCAUGCAGGGUAGUGACAGUGGCGGAACAUGAUGCUGAGACGGGGGAGCGGAAGCUCACCAAACGCGGGGAGAGAUCCAGGAGGACGAGGAGGGAGACUCCUCCAGUGCUUUGGACCUUGCUGUGCCUGGCAUUGAUGACCUCGGGGUCAUGAUUGAAGAAAGCUGAGCUCCCUUAUCUCAAGUUCUUGUUUUUACUGAUGCGGUCAAGGAGAGAGGAAUGUUUUAAUGAGGUGGUCUACAUUAGUUGAAAAGUAAGGAAGAUGGCGUAUUGUGACGGGAUUGGAAAGUUAAUGAUUGAUUGGAAAGAAGAGGGGUGAGCAAAAAGAUCGGAAAAAUGCUCUAUAAGUAUUCGUUACUGAAUAAAGUUGAACCAACCUCAGAAAUAGAUGGAAGAAGACAAUAAAGACAACCGUUUUCUAGAUCAGAAAAUAUACCAUUCUGUAACUGCACUGGCUAUAUACAGAUCUCCUUCAUUAAAUUGUUUGUUGAAGGCA